rnacentral:hammerhead_ribozyme from 1 species
ACUAUCUGACGAGUCCCAAAUAGGGCGAGACUCGCGUCCUGGAU